rnacentral:rRNA from 1 species
GACGAACGCUGGCGGCGUGCUUAACACAUGCAAGUCGAACGGAAAGGCCCUGCUUUUGUGGGGUGCUCGAGUGGCGAACGGGUGAGUAACACGUGAGUAACCUGCCCUUUACUUUGGGAUAACUUCAGGAAACUGGGGCUAAUACCUGCUAGGAGCUCCUGCAGCAUGGUGGGGUUUGGAAAGCUUCGGCGGAUGGGGAUGGACUCGCGGCUUAUCAGCUUGUUGGUGGGGUAGUGGCUUACCAAGGCAUUGACGGGUAGCCGGCCUGAGAGGGUGAACAGCGACAUGGGGACUGAGGUACGGGCCAGAGGGCUAUGUUAGGCAGUGGGGGAGAAUAUUGUACAGUGGGGGGAAGUCUGAGGCAGCAACGUCGGGAUCGUGAUGACGGUUUUGUGGUGAUAAAGCGCAGUCGCCUGUUACGAAGCGGGAUUGACGGUAAUGGGUAAAGAAGCACCGGCUAACUACGUG